UUUUCUAUAGUAUAAAAAGUACGUUCGUUUUUCGAACUUAAAGUAGGCUAUAGCCUUAGAAAAG
rnacentral:tRNA from 1 species